GGAAGUGCGCACUGCCUUCUGCGCCUGCGCCGCGCCUGCAGCCUCAGGCGACCCCUAGGUGUGGGGAUGGCCCUUGGCAUAAGUAAUCCGACGGUCUCGUCCCGCCUGCAGUGAUUCGGGAAAGGUAGGGGAUGAGUUUCAUCUUUAGGUGGAUGCCCCAGGACAGAAUUGUGGGAAGCCAAGAGAGCUCUGCAUUCCUUCUUUCCUUGAAACGUUUUGUUUUUUUUUUUUUUCCUACUUGGUGGACUUGAGAGCAAGACUCCUGAGCUGCCAUGAAGACACAAAGGGUAGGGAGCUGCCAAGUUUAGGGUAAUAAUUUGUGAACCUGAAUUGCCGAGUGUGGCAGACUGCUGUGGCCAGUAUGAGAGGCUUCCUGUGGAGAUGAAGACUGGGGGAAGAAGAACCUGAAGGAAAAGCUGGACCAGUUCAGUUCAAUAAAAACAAACAUUUAUUAAAUGCUAA